UCCCUGGAGGACUAGUGGUUGGGCCACAGGGCUCUUACUGCUGUGGCACAGGUUCAAUUCCCGGCCAGGGAA
rnacentral:tRNA from 1 species